GGGGGCGUUUUUGGAUUCGACGGGGAUAGUUCGGGCAUGAGUAGCGGGUAGUGGGGACGCGUCCACUUCAUCAACGCUAAAGCCAAUUAAAUGGCAAACAACAAACUUCUUACGCUGUAGCAGCUUAAUAACCUGCACGCGUGCUCUCGCUCUGCAUCGCCCAUGUGCCGGGAUGAGGGCUCAACUUAUAGUGGGAUACGCUGUCUAGUCUCCGCCUGGGGCUAGCUGAAGAAGACAAUCAGGCUGACCUGGAAUAGAGCCGGUUACGGGGCGCUGAUCCAGGUGACAUCAAAACCGUGACUACACCCGUAGAAGCUUGUGUUGUCGUUAUCUUCGGACAGGGGUUCGACUCCCCUCGCCUCCAUAC
rnacentral:tmRNA from 2 species